AGUCGAGCGCGGGAAGCAAGCUGAUCCUCUUCGGAGGUGACGCUUGUGGAACGAGCGGCGGACGGGUGAGUAACACGUGGGCAACCUGCCUGUAAGACUGGGAUAACCCCGGGAAACCGGGGCUAAUACCGGAUAAUACUUUUCAUCACCUGAUGAGAAGUUGAAAGGUGGCUUUUAGCUACCACUUACAGAUGGGCCCGCGGCGCAUUAGCUAGUUGGUGAGGUAACGGCUCACCAAGGCAACGAUGCGUAGCCGACCUGAGAGGGUGAUCGGCCACACUGGGACUGAGACACGGCCCAGACUCCUACGGGAGGCAGCAGUAGGGAAUCUUCCGCAAUGGACGAAAGUCUGACGGAGCAACGCCGCGUGAGUGAUGAAGGUUUUCGGAUCGUAAAGCUCUGUUGUUAGGGAAGAACAAGUGCCGUUCGAAUAGGGCGGCACCUUGACGGUACCUAACCAGAAAGCCCCGGCUAACUACGUGCCAGCAGCCGCGGUAAUACGUAGGGGGCAAGCGUUGUCCGGAAUUAUUGGGCGUAAAGCGCGCGCAGGCGGUCCUUUAAGUCUGAUGUGAAAGCCCACGGCUCAACCGUGGAGGGUCAUUGGAAACUGGAGGACUUGAGUACAGAAGAGGAGAGUGGAAUUCCACGUGUAGCGGUGAAAUGCGUAGAGAUGUGGAGGAACACCAGUGGCGAAGGCGACUCUCUGGUCUGUAACUGACGCUGAGGCGCGAAAGCGUGGGGAGCGAACAGGAUUAGUACCCUGGUAGUCCACGCCGUAAACGAUGAGUGCUAGGUGUUAGGGGGUUUCCGCCCCUUAGUGCUGAAGUUAACGCAUUAAGCACUCCGCCUGGGGAGUACGGCCGCAAGGCUGAAACUCAAAAGAAUUGACGGGGGCCCGCACAAGCGGUGGAGCAUGUGGUUUAAUUCGACGCAACGCGAAGAACCUUACCAGGUCUUGACAUCCUCUGCAAUCGGUAGAGAUACCGAGUUCCCUUCGGGGACAGAGUGACAGGUGGUGCAUGGUUGUCGUCAGCUCGUGUCGUGAGAUGUUGGGUUAAGUCCCGCAACGAGCGCAACCCUUGAUCUUAGUUGCCAGCAUUUAGUUGGGCACUCUAAGGUGACUGCCGGUGACAAACCGGAGGAAGGUGGGGAUGACGUCAAAUCAUCAUGCCCCUUAUGACCUGGGCUACACACGUGCUACAAUGGAUGGAACAAAGGGAAGCAAAACCGCGAGGUCAAGCAAAUCCCAUAAAACCAUUCUCAGUUCGGAUUGCAGGCUGCAACUCGCCUGCAUGAAGCCGGAAUCGCUAGUAAUCGCGGAUCAGCAUGCCGCGGUGAAUACGUUCCCGGGCCUUGUACACACCGCCCGUCACACCACGAGAGUUGGUAACACCCGAAGUCGGUGAGGUAACCUUUUGGAGCCAGCC
rnacentral:rRNA from 1 species